rnacentral:lncRNA from 1 species
AGUCCUAAUUCCCCCUACCCCAAAAUAAACUUUCCUUAUAUCAGGUGUGUCGCAUGGCAUGAUUUCUCAGGCGGACACCUUGGCAUGGCCCCACCAGGAAAGGCUUUCCGGAAACGGCUUGAGUCACUUAACAGAGAAAACCGUUUUAUCGCUGCUGCAUCCAGGAUGCCGGAGGAUUCUUUCAUUUUGAAGGCUGGGCGUUGAUUUGAGGAUGAGACUGGUGGGGGCUGGGAGGCUGGCGGUACUGUUGGGAGUCGGAGCUGGGUUGCGCUGCUGCUUUCCCAAAGCUCUGGGCACUGUGAUUGCUCCCAGUGGGACUUACAUUUCAGGGAAGC